rnacentral:rRNA from 1 species
GACGAACGCUGGCGGCGUGCUUAACACAUGCAAGUCGAACGAGGUCCAUUGCGAGCUUGCUCAAGAGAAGACCUAGUGGCGAACGGGUGCGUAACACGUGAGGAACCUGCCCCAGACUUGGGAAUAACAGUCGGAAACGGCUGCUAAUACCGAAUACCUUCGUAGCGCUGCAUGACGCAUCGAAGAAAGCUUUUGCGGUUUGGGAGGGUCUCGCGGCCUAUCAGCUUGUUGGUGAGGUAACGGCUCACCAAGGCAUCGACGGGUAGCUGGUCUGAGAGGAUGAUCAGCCACACUGGGACUGAGACACGGCCCAGACUCCUACGGGAGGCAGCAGUGGGGAAUAUUGCACAAUGGGCGAAAGCCUGAUGCAGCAACGCCGCGUGCGGGAAGAAGGCCCUAGGGUUGUAAACCGCUUUCAGCAGGGAAGAAACUGACGGUACCUGCAGAAGAAG